AGAAUGAACGCUGGCGGCGUGCUUUACACAUGCAAGUCGAGCGAGGCGGGUAGCAAUACCCAGUCGAGCGGCGAACGGGUGAGUAACACGUGGAUCAUCUACCUUCAGGUGGGGGAUAACCCGGGGAAACUCGGGCUAAUACCGCAUAAUAUCGUGAGAUCAAAGGGGCGCAAGUCCCGCCAGAAGAGGAGUCCGCGUUCGAUUAGCUAGUUGGUAGGGUAAUGGCCUACCAAGGCGACGAUCGAUAGCCGGCCUGAGAGGGUGAUCGGCCACACUGGAACUGAGACACGGUCCAGACUCCUACGGGAGGCAGCAGUGGGGAAUUUGCGCAAUGGGCGAAAGACCUGACGCAGCAACGCCGCGUGGAGGAUGAAGGUCUUUGGAUUGUAAACGUCCUGUCAGCAGGGAAAAAGGGUCUGGCCACACCAGAUCAUGAUUGACCUGCGAGAGAACGCCCGCUAACUCUGUGCCAGCACGCCGACGGUAAUCGUGA
rnacentral:rRNA from 1 species